GUGGAGGAGCUUCGGGCUUACCUGAAGGAGGUGGGGGCAGAGAUUUCCAUGGAAAGGAGUCCGAAAGGUCUUGAAGAUGAUUUGCACAAAAUAAUUGGUGUCUGUGACACCUGCUUUUCUUCUGAGGCCACAGAAUCAGAAGUGGAAGCUCUUCUGAAUUCUAUUGUCUCAGUUUUGAUUGUUGUGCCAGUUGGAGAAAAGACUGAGAGCCUGAUUCUAGCUUUCUGUGAAAAGC